UCUCUAGUAAUGAGAAAGCAAAAGAAAACCAACAGGUGUAGGGCACUGGCAGGCAGACACAUCCUUUCACUUGAGCUCAUGUGGAGAAACAAAUGCAAGCAACUCAUUGUCACCUUCAAGUUUAGCCAAGUCCUCUUCCUUCAUGUUAAUGUAUGCUUCUAUCUAUUCCACCACCAGACUUGGCGUCCAUGAAAACAACCAAGUUAUUUCAAGGGGAAAUACCACAAAAUACAAUCAAGGCACUUCUCCAAACACCAUCCUGGACAUUUUGGGAAUAGUAUCUAUAAAUAUAUACUUAUUGGCCUUACGAUUUUUUCUCACUUUUUCUUCUCUCUCAGCGCUCUCUCUGUAUCACUCUCUCUCUCUCUCUCGCACAAAGUCCAUUGUCGAGAACCAACAUCUGGGCAGAUUUGUCCCUUUAGUCACGAAUGGAAGCUAUCAGAAAGCAAGCGACCAGGCUUCGCGUCGCGAACGGGUCGUUAGGCAACAACAGGUGCUUUCAUACCAAUCCUAAUUCCACCAGAUCCAAUUUCAUUUAAUCGCUUUCAGUAUCUGCACUCUAUUCUGAUUCCGUAUUUGAUAUUUCUUAUUUUGACCAAUUUCCCCUUGAAUUAGGUCGACUUUCUUUUCCCUUGUCCUGUUUAUUUUCUUGGUGAAAUUCGCAAUCUUGUUCUGCCUGUAAUGCUUUAUUUUCGUUGGGUUUGUGAUUUUCAAUCCAACUCAACGCAUUUCCUUUUCAAAGUCGUAAACUUUUUUAUGAAUUUUGUUGAUUGACAUUUGAUGUGCUACCCAAAAGAGAGGCGAUAUUAAUUGUAUUCUUGCGCGUUAAUUGGUAAAUUGCUCGGAGAACAUUCUUGGAAUCUGUUUAUGGAAGAUUGCAAAUAGAAUACAUGGAUAGAACAAAGAAAUAUAUUUGUUGGUCCAUAAUGCCUUAAAAAAUUAGAGCCUACAGUGUGUGUUAUGGCUACAGGUCAGGCUUGUUCAUCCAAUGAAAAGUAAAUGUUGCUAUUAAGUUUUACAUAGAUAUGCUCCCUUAAAAGAAAUGGACAAUCAGUUAGAUUAAGGUAUGGUUUCACUCAAUAAAUUCAAUAGAAAUUAGCCAUUUGAGAAGUUUUUGCCAACAAAUGUGUUAAGAGAUUUCAGUUUCUGCUGUAACUUUGUUCUCAUGUCACAUUUUCUGUUCCUGUAGUCAUAUUCAUAAACAUGCCUUGAAAAGUAUAUGGUACAUCUUCAACUACAUCCCAUCAAGUUGAAGCUCCUAUUUAAAGAAUUUGAUGUUGAGGACUUCAAUGAACUCACUUAAACUGAUAAGGUCUCUAGUCUGAAAAACAUAGUUGGUUAUUUACUGUGAAUAGGUUGUGUAUCUGUUAUUGAUGUAAUUUUGUAUUCCCUUUUCUCCAUUUUAAAAGAACUCUUUGCCAAUGUUAAAGGUGAACCCAGAAGAACCAAGUAUUCUAAAAGUUGCUGUUGUACAUUAUACAAAUGUUCUUUGGUUGAGUCUUUUUAAUAAGGGUAGGAUUUUGAAGGUGGACAUUUAUUAGCUGUAGGUGAAGUCAUUGCUAGCAGUUGGCUUGUACUUAGUAGCAUGCAAUAGUCAUCUUCUUAAGUUGUCUGAGAAGUGGAACUUAUUUGGGCCUUUGAAAUUCAAAUUUGUUUUUUACUGC